AUAGUGUGAUACGUUUAUGAUCGGAACGAUCGUAGAAAAACGGAAGUAAAGAGAAGAGGCAGAGUUAGAGGAGGCAGAAGCAGAGGAAAAGGUGGAACAAGAGGAAGAAGGGUUGCUUGAAGACUACUUCGUGCGGCCCACUUUCUUUACUUUCACGCGGCCGCCGCGUUCUUCUUUCAUCGCCGUGCUCGCCUGACUUCGUAACUCAACGAAGAGGAGAAAGAGAAGGAGAAGGAGAAGGAGGAGGAGGAGGAGAAGAAGGAGGAGUAGUGUACCACAGUAAGAGGAUGAGGUGGAAAGGGGGUGUUGUGCAAGGGAAAGAGUUCGGGUAGGGGGUGGGUCGUAGAGGAGGAAGAGGAGGAACACGGGAAAAAGAACCGCCAAAGAUUAUACUGUUCUCUCUCUCUC